GUCGGAAAGGUUGUAUGGAGGAUAUAUGAGAAGCACUGGCAAGCUUAGUCCACGAUGCUUCCCUAGAGUUAGCACCAAUAAUAGCCGCACCUGCUUUGACAACUCUGUGACAAGAGGAAAAGUAGGGCCUUGUUGUUGCCAAUUGCAGGCCGGAGGCCACAGUUGCUGCCAUUUUCAGUAGAUCAAAUCUCUUAGAGGAAAAUAGUGACCGCGGAAAUACGAAGAAAGCCAACGCUGGAAAAUAGAAAUGGUAGAGANNNNNNNGAAAUGGUAGAGAUUUAACAAGGGUUUUAGUGGUUUUUUGGACUUAGGUGGACGGUUUUGGAGGCUCUCUGCGAGAAGCCGCAGCAGCUGGAAUACUUUAGAGGAC
rnacentral:misc_RNA from 1 species